CGUCAAUGGAGGGCAGGAGGGGUGGGAAUGCGUAGGGUGGGGUGGUUGUCCGGAAGUGUUGGGCGUAAAGGGCUUGUAGGCGGUUGGUCGCGGGUGCGGUGAAAAACCGGGGCUCAACUCCGGACUUGCAGUGGGUACGGGCAGGCUAGAGUGUGGUAGGGGAGACUGGAAUUCCUGGUGGAGCGGUGGAAUGCGCAGAUAUCAGGAGGAACACCGAUGGCGAAGGCAGGUCUCUGGGCCACUACUGACGCUGAGAAGCGAAAGCAUGGGGAGCGAACAGGAUUAGAUACCCGAGUAGUC
rnacentral:rRNA from 1 species